UAGAGUAAAGCAUUUAAUUUUUGAUGCAAGAAAGUGUUAUUUUCUAGAAAAUAACUCUAG
rnacentral:tRNA from 1 species